GAGCGUGUGCUUACAUGUACUCUUUCUACUUGACAGAAGAUGAUGCAUAAAGACAUCUUGUCUCAACCAAGAACUCAAGAAUGUCUUAGAAGUGGGCACUCUGUCAGUGUCCUCCGUGUUCUGAUGCAGCUGCUAAGGGUGUGUAAUCAUCCUGAUCUUAUAAAUCCCCAGCUUCCAAGUUCUCCCUGUGUAUUAGACACGCUGGAGUUUACAGCUGCUUCUCUAGUGCUGAACAUGUUGGGAGAGGAUCUGUGGAAACCUGCAGACUAGUCUCUCUUUGAUGUGACAAGAUGGAAAACCAAAUACUUGCUAUGAAGCACAACUACUGCCAAAACUGAAAGUAACUAGAAAGCUUAUUGAAGAGAUCUACUGUUCUCCUUCAUCACCCAGACUUGAGCUCAAAUCAAAUAGAAUGACACUACUGUGCAAACUGGAGAUUUUGCUGGCAGUUCUGUUGGUCUCCAGGUACACCAUCUUACUGAAACUUCAGACCUGGGCUGCAGUGUCUGAGACAGCUUUUUACACAGGUCAUUCUUAACUGACUGAGCAGAUUUAGGCACCAUCACUGCCUGUUCUCUGGGUCUCUGCUGAGCCACUAGUAAAGGUCAUUAUUAACUGAGUCUUUUAUAUGAUACAGCCCUUUGGAACAGACUUUUCAGAUGGUUGGGGAUGUAGUGCAGUGUUUCAAGCACACUCUUUUUCUCAGGCCUUUUCUAAAUUCUUUACAUAUUGAUUUCAGCUGGGUACAGUACAAGUUUUUGCAUGGUUGAAUGGGAAGCAAUCAGUAUGAAGAAGACAGAAGAUUAUAUAGGAUAAUUAUUCUUUCAUGCUGUUCUAAUAACUUCUUCCACUGCUAAAAAUGAAUUGUGUGGGAAAAGAUCUUAUUCUGUGGUUGUU